CGACCCCUAAGGCGAGGCCGAAAGGCGUAGUCGAUGGGAAACAGGUCAAUAUUCCUGUACUUCUGCUAACUGCGAUGGAGAGACGGAGAAGGCUAGGCUAGCGCGGCGUUGGUUGUCCGCGUUUAAGGUUGUAGGCUGUAAACUUAGGCAAAUCCGGGUUUACAUUAAGGCUGAGAACUGAUGACGAGUCCCCAAGGGGAUGAAGUAGUUGAUGCCAUGCUUCCAGGAAAAUCUUCUAAGCUUCAGGUUAGUAGGAAUCGUACCCCAAACCGACACAGGUGGUCGGGUAGAGAAUACCAAGGCGCUUGAGAGAACUCGGCUGAAGGAACUAGGCAAAAUGGUACCGUAACUUCGGGAGAAGGUACGCUGCUGGCGGUGAUGAGACUUGCUCUCUAAGCUGCUGGCAGUCGCAGAUACCAGGUGGCUGCAACUGUUUAUCAAAAACACAGUACUGUGCAAAAUCGCAAGAUGACGUAUACGGUAUGACGCCUGCCCGGUGCUUGAAGGUUAAUUGAUUGGGUUAUCUUCGGAGAAGCUCAUGAUCGAAGCCCAAGUAAACGGCGGCCGUAACUAUAACGGUCCUAAGGUAGCGAAAUUCCUUGUCGGGUAAGUUCCGACCUGCACGAAUGGCGUAAUGAUGGCCACGCUGUCUCCAGCCGAGACUCAGUGAAGUUGAAAUUGCGGUGAAGAUGCCGUAUACCCGCGGCUAGACGGAAAGACCCCGUGAACCUUUACUAUAGCUUGGCACUGAACAUUGAACCUACAUGUGUAGGAUAGGUGGGAGACUUUGAA
rnacentral:rRNA from 1 species